GCAGGGCAUGGUGGUGCACACCUGUAGUCCCAGCUACUCGGGAGGCUGAGGCAGGAGGAUCGCUUGAGCCCAGAUGUUUGGGGUCAGCCUGGGCAACAUAGCGAGACCCUGUCUCAA
rnacentral:sRNA from 1 species